GCUACCUGAUUCAGCGGCGGACGGGUGAGUAAUGCCUAGGAAUCUGCCCGAUAGUGGGGGACAACGUUUCGAAAGGAACGCUAAUACCGCAUACGUCCUACGGGAGAAAGUGGGGGAUCUUCGGACCUCACGCUAUCGGAUGAGCCUAGGUCGGAUUAGCUAGUUGGUGAGGUAAUGGCUCACCAAGGCGACGAUCCGUAACUGGUCUGAGAGGAUGAUCAGUCACACUGGAACUGAGACACGGUCCAGACUCCUACGGGAGGCAGCAGUGGGGAAUAUUGGACAAUGGGCGAAAGCCUGAUCCAGCCAUGCCGCGUGUGCGAAGAAGGUCUUCGGAUUGUAAAGCACUUUAAGUUGGGAGGAAGGGCAGUAAGCUAAUACCUUGCUGUUUUGACGUUACCAACAGAAUAAGCACCGGCUAACUUCGUGCCAGCAGCCGCGGUAAUACGAAGGGUGCAAGCGUUAAUCGGAAUUACUGGGCGUAAAGCGCGCGUAGGUGGUUCAGCAAGUUGGAUGUGAAAUCCCCGGGCUCAACCUGGGAACUGCAUCCAAAACUACUGAGCUAGAGUACGGUAGAGGGUGGUGGAAUUUCCUGUGUAG
rnacentral:rRNA from 1 species